rnacentral:rRNA from 1 species
GAUGAACGCUAGCGGGAGGCUUAACACAUGCAAGUCGAGCGGGAUUAGCAGCAAUGCUAUGAGAGCGGCGCACGGGUGCGUAACGCGUAUGCAACCUGCCUUAUACAGGGAAUAGCCCAUGGAAACGUGGAUUAAAGUCCCAUAGGAUUACGGAUUCGCAUGGAUUUGUGAUUAAAACUGAGGUGGUAUAAGAUGGGCAUGCGUCUGAUUAGGUAGUUGGUGAGGUAAUGGCUCACCAAGCCGACGAUCAGUAGGGGUUCUGAGAGGAUUACCCCCCACACUGGUACUGAGACACGGACCAGACUCCUACGGGAGCAGCAGUGAGGAAUAUUGGUCAAUGGCCGAAAGGCUGAACCAGCCAUCCCGCGUGCAGGAUGACGGCCCUAUGGGUUG